GGCCAAAAUAAAUCUUGCUUCCUUCAAAUCGAUUAUCUCAGAUUGAAGAAUGGAGAGAAUCACCAAAUAGGAUACUGCUGUUUGUGAGGGAAUGAAGAAAAUGACAACAUCUCCCUAAGUUGCCCAGGCUGG